AACUGACAAAAAUGAUUAUAUCGAUCAUAUUUCUGUGUAUGCAAACGAUAUUCAUUGCUGUACUAAGUGAAUCAAGAAUUAAAUUGAUCUCAGCGCAUCAUAAACCUGAAUAUGACAACAAGUAUGAAGAAGAGAACGCCAUUGAAGACUAUCAUGUUAAAUUUGUAUGGGAAUGCGCUGUGAAAUGUUUGUCAAAUAAGCGUUGUUUGUCAUUCUUCUACAGCAAUCCUACAAGAAUGUGUAUUUUACACUCGGAUCCGUUCACAUAUACAGUUAUGUCAUUCUCAGGGGAAGGGUGGAAAUUUUACCUUUUCCAGGAACGUGCUGGUCGCUGUUUGGUCAACUUCUUCUACUACAGAGAACUGGACCUGUGUUAUAAAUUUGAACCGCCAAUUCAAGGGUCUCUUGUUCAUGAAGAUUUCGUUUGUCCAGGAACUGAGCUCAUGCGUAUCGAUUCCAAUGAAAUACAAGAUUACAUCAAGCUUGUUACAGCUGACAUCGGAGGAGUGUACCGUAAUGCAAUAUGUAUACAAGGUAAAAUGACACAAGGACAAUGGAAGUACAAUGAUGGAUCUACGAUAGAGUAUUUCAGGUGGGGACCAAAUCAACCAAGUGGAUCAACUAACGUCAUCAGCAUGAGUCGAUCACAGAACUACAAUUUUAGGAUUCUUAAUGAUGGAAAAAAUUGUACCUAUAUGUGUGAAUAUCGAUCACAGAA